UACGUAGGUGGCAAGCGUUGUCCGGAUUUACUGGGCGUAAAGAAUGCGUAGGCGGAUAUUUAAGUGAGAUGUGAAAAUUCCCGGGCUUAACUUGGGAGCUGCAUUUCAAACUGGAUAUCUAGAGUGCGGGAGAGGUAAGUGGAAUUCCUAGUGUAGCGGUGAAAUGCGUAGAUAUCGGAAGGAACAUCAGUGGCGAAGGCGACUAACUGGACAUGUAUUGACGCUGAGGUGCGAAAGCGUGGGGAGCAAACAGG
rnacentral:rRNA from 1 species